UUUUCUUUAACGGAAAGUAGCCAGACUGAUCUGCGAGUGAAACCUUGAAAGCUCGCGAGAUCAGGAUGGUCUCACAAGGCUACUUUUAACUGAACGUUUGAAGCAAAGCAGUGGAUUCAUUCAGCAUGUUGCAUUGUAUACACGAGGCCAGGGCAGCAGGACAGAAAAACACUCACAUGUUUAAGACACUUCCGCUUCUUGAUUUACACUCUCUCUGGGUAAGACAUUCAAACAGCAGACCUACAAACCAACAGCUACAUUUCAGGCAGAGUGGAGUUUGAUAGCUUGGUCUGAAGAGUUGGGUUGAGUUUAUACCCUGGGCCAAAUGAAGCAGGAUUAUCUGGGGAAGCAGACUGUUUUUAAACCCAAUUUAAAGUCGACCAAACGGCUCAGGGGUGAAAGCGCUUUAAAUAACCAGAUGUGCUGCCGGGUCACUUUCGGCCUGAUGAGCUUGUAGCAUUGGUAUAAGGCUCACCAAACAUGGAGAAGUGCAAGGUAGUCUGAAAGGAGGUUGCAUUUUCAUGCAUAUUUUACUGUUACAUUGGGGCGGAGGGGUCACUGACAAGUUAAGUUCUAAAUACAUCUAAAAGCAAGACACUGACUACAGACUUUGUAGUUAUAGUUCUCUGUCAGUAAAGCACUUCCUGCAAAGAGUGUUGUUCUGCUACCAACUGUUAAAUACAGGCAGACUUUGUCUGAAACAAGCUCCACUGUUGAAAUAAAAAUUGCAGUGAAUAGCUCAAGCGAAGGUAUAAAAUGCAUUGUGACGCACUUCGCACCCAAAGUUUCUCGAGACAUCUGGUUGGCGAGGGUCUGCCCAAGGCUUCAGUCUGGUGUGAAGGGGGGGUUCAUGUGAAUCAGUCAGAGGCAGUUCAGAUUUCAGUGUUCUGCAGAAUCUGGCAGUUUUUACCUCCUGGCCUUCUGGAUCUGAGAGAUAAUAUGCAACACUUUUGUACAUUUGAUACAACUGACAAACUGAAACUCCUGCCAGAAUCACCGGUCGCCUCCCAUCCAGUAGCUCUGCUCCCGAUCCAUCCCCCAAUGAAGCUAUUGCUGCUUUAUUGCGGCGCUGGUCCUGCACACAGACCCCGUUCUGCUAAGCAGCGUUGCUGCAGGAGAGGAGCAGAUCCAUCGUUAAAGUAAUUAAUAACAGGUUUGCUGCUCCCGCUACGAUGAGUAAAACUCUCCGCUGUGGCCGAAGCUGUUCGGUAACCACAGGCUUACACUUAGAAACAUAAUUGUGUUGUCCCAAGCAGUGGUGUUUAGUUAAAAGGAGUUAGCAACUUGGAUGUUUCUUCUAUUAAAUCCCUUCUUCUAAUGCUCAUGUGGCUGACAGAUUAAUGCUAUGACGUUGAGGCCAUUGAGUUGUGGAUAUUGUUCAUCUAUAUGACAAACUUUGGCAGGUUGGGGAAAUAUCUUCAUGUUAUCAGUGGUACCACUCAAUUGCUCAAAGUAGACAGUUAAAGACCAUGCUGCUUUCUUCUCUGGAUGUUAUGCAAGAAAACACAGUCACCUUGUAAUGCUUUAACACAUGUAAAGAGACACUUUGAGUGGCAUUUAUAGCAGAGUUUCUGUCAGGAAUACAGAAAAUGCAUUUAAAUCGUUCUGCCUUAGUAAUUUAAUAUGCUGUUUCAGUCAAAAGUUUAAGAAGAUCCACUUUAAAUGUCUGUGCAGGUCUGUGUAGGUCUUUUGUUUUGAUUGUACUGUGUAUCAAACCGAUUGUCAAGCUGUCCAACAACGAAACAAUUGUGGUUGUAUUGUAAAGAAUGGACUUUAUAACCGGGCAGAUUGAAAAAUGUUAUUUGUUAUUUUAUUGAUUGCAUUUUAUGAUUGGUGGGGGUUAAUUUGUGGUGAAAGAAAUUUGAAAUCAAACUAAAAACUGUCAGUGAUGAAGCUUUAUUGUUAUUUUAAUUGUUUUGUUUUAUUAGAAGUAAAACUGAAUAUUAGAAAAUGGAGAGUUUUUCCAGGAACAGAUUCACACAUUAAGAGUGAAAUAUUUUGGGGGAAAAAAUACCAUUUGUUGGCAAAAUACCCAGCUUCUGUUUCACAACACAAGUCAUGUACAGAUUUGUCUCGCAAACACUCUUUUGCCUUUCCAGAAUUAGCCAUGUUACAACUACAGACUUUAAUGUAUUUUAUUGGGAUUUUAUGUGAUAGAGCAACACAAAUAAUUCUGAAAUGGAAGGUUUGGGUUUUCAUGUUUUUCAUAACAGAUAUGAAUCUGAAAGGUGCACUUGUAUACAGGCUCGCUGACUCACUUAUCUGUAGAGCCACCUUUCACUACAGUUCCAGCUGCGAGGUCUCAUAGUCUCUUUCAGCUUUGCCCAUACAGGAGCUGGUUCUCAUAAGAGAGCUCAAGCUCAGAUAGAUGGAAGGAAAAGCAUUUGUGAAUUUUGCCUGAUCUUAAUUUAUCUUUAGGUCAUGACCAGGAACUGUGGCCUGGGGGCUACAUUGUGCUUGUUUCAUUGGAAUAUGUUAAGUUAAGUUUAUUGUUGAUCAAGUAAAAACGAAAAUUAAACUUCUUGUAAUUUAAAGAAAGUGAUCGUGAGAAGCGAAUUGCUCCUCAUUACCCCCUGUAUACUACACAACGCAGGACCCACGAUGAAGCUGAAACUCGGCCUGAUCCAAAAAAUUCUCGCACGACAGAAGAAUCGGCCACAAAAGGGCAAAAAAUCAUACAGUGUAUGCCCAGUUUAACAGGCCUUCUUCUAUGAUUGCCCGGUGAUAUAUCUGAACUUUAACAACAACUUUGUCCCUGCUGAAGAAAAGCAUCCCAACAGCAUGAUGUUGCCUCCGCCAUCUUUCAUGGUGUUCAGGGUGACUUCAUCCCUGACCUGGCUGCCGUGUUCCUUGGUCUUCAGAGAUUGUCUCUAACAACAAUCCAUGGCCUUAACAAAAUGGCUGCAUUUAUACUGAUACUAAAUUAGACACAGUACUUUUAUUUACGGGUAUCAGUUCAUGUAUAAAAAAAAACAUAAAAAUUGGAACUUUAUCUUUUAAAUUUGCUACUUUAAAUAAAAUCCCAAUAAAACAAAGGUUUGUAACGUGUCAAAAUGUGAAAAGGUUAUGGGUGUGAAUACUUCUGCAAAUGUUUAACUAUUUGGGUAGAAAUGUAAACCACACUCUUUUCCUUUAUUUAGAAAAGUGUAAAUGUUUCAUUGGACUUCACCUUUCAUUUUAACUACUUCCCAACUAAAAUAGCUAUUUUCUUUUUCAUUGUGUAGCAUUAAGCAACAGUUUGCAGUAGAAGCAGUUUUCAAGCCGCAGACCCUGUACAGCAUCUGCGGAUCUUGUAUAUCAGCCUUCUGACACAUUUACAUACAUUUGCAGUCUGCGCCUUGAAUAUGAGCCUCCUAUAACUGCAAAUGGGACACACUCUAGGUGCAAACAUCACUUACUUUGCAUUGUAUGUUCAGAGUAAAUAUAGACAGUUACUUUUUAUGGUGUAACAUGCUUUGCAACGCAGGAAAACAACAGGAGAUCUGCUCUGAAGCCUUUUAAUACAACAGAAAAUACAGUGACAAUAUUCUGGAAGAUUUAAUUCCACUAAUGACACAAUAGAUACCAUCUUCAAAAUAUAAGCGUUGCUUACCAUUUUACAGAAAUAUUGCUGCUGCUAUUUGUAAUUCUGCAAUGGUAUGUGGAAAAGAACACAAAGGUAGGCUGAUGAUAAAAUCAAAAUGUCCUUUUUUUCUUUAAUAUGUUGGCCUUUUCACUUAAACUGACAGAUCUUUGUUAUUUUUUAUAUAUAUCACAGUUUUUUAUUUAUUUACUAGAUAUUUGUUGUAUGUAAAUUUAAUGAAUUCCAUUUUGAUUCUUAAAAAAGGAAGGAAGAAGUGUUUAUGGUGAAAAGCCCUUCAUAUUUGUGUGCUUUCUUAAAGAAGUAAAGUAAAAAAAAAAAGCUUAAAUAGGCCUUAUUUUAUAAAAAGAAGUAAACUGGAUAUUUAUUAUUUCACCAUUGCAUUUCCAAAUAUCUUGGUGACAUAUUCUUUUUAGUUUUUAAUUUGUGUAUUUAUUUAUUAUGUUUAUUUUUGAAAAACAUAAGUAUGGAAAUAUGAGAAUUAAGAUGUAUGUUAUAAAUUAUCAUGGAAAAGAUUAAAAAAAAAAAUGUUGGGGUAAAAUUUAUGGUUAACAUGAUGUCUUUAAGCCACCUUGCUCUUUAAUGUAAUACCAUUGUAUUAUACAGAUAUCUCUGUGAGAUACUGCAGAAAUAUUCAAUAAAGUUUCACAUUGAAACCUUUU